AGAGCCUCGGGAAAGGGCACUGCAAACGAGUAGACACUUGGAGAGCUCUCCUUUUGAAACAGGCUGAAGGGACCAAGGGGUGUGCUGGCGCCCGAGCUUCCGCAGCAGCUUCCAGAACCGACCAGCGAUGCAUCGGGCGGUGCCGUGUUGACGUGGGCUGUGGUGGAGAGCUGAGCUACUGGGAUGGGCCAACCCUCCAAGGGCUCCUUCCCUCCCGGCAAGAUGCUCUGGAGCUCCAAGGAACAGAGAAUGUAAGCAAUUCAGCUGUGAUCACCUGGGGCAGCACCAAAGAUACGCUAGUCUUAUGACUGCAGGUCAAUGGCAUGGCACAGGUAAGUAAUUCAUGA